rnacentral:rRNA from 1 species
UACGUAGGGCGCAAGCGUUGUCCGGAAUUAUUGGGCGUAAAGAGCUCGUAGGCGGCCUGUUGCGUCCGCUGUGAAAUCCCGGGGCUUAACCCCGGGCCUGCAGUGGAUACGGGCAGGCUGGAGGCAGGCAGGGGAGAACGGAAUUCCCGGUGUAGCGGUGAAAUGCGCAGAUAUCGGGAGGAACACCGGUGGCGAAGGCAGGUCUCUGGGCCAUUACUGACGCUGAGAAGCGAAAGCAUGGGGAGCGAACAGG